rnacentral:rRNA from 1 species
AUUGAACGCUGGCGGCAGGCUUAACACAUGCAAGUCGAGCGAGCGGCGGACGGGUGAGUAAUGUCUGGGAAACUGCCUGAUGGAGGGGGAUAACUACUGGAAACGGUAGCUAAUACCGCAUACCAUCAGAUGUGCCCAGAUGGGAUUAGCUAGUAGGUGGGGUAAUGGCUAACCUAGGCGACGAUCCCUAGCUGGUGUGAGAGGAUGACCAGCCCCACUGUAAUGUAGACACGGUCCAGACUCCUACGGGAGGCAGCAGUGGGAAAUAUUGCACAAUGGGCGCAAGCCUGAUGCAGCCAUGCCGCGUGUAUGAAGAAGGCCUUCGGGUUGUAAAGUACUUUCAGCGAGGAGGCGUUACUCGCAGAAGAAGCACCGGCUAACUCCGUGCCAGCAGCCGCGGUAAUUC